rnacentral:rRNA from 1 species
GAUGAACGCUGGCGGCGUGCUUAACACAUGCAAGUCGAACGGUGAACACGGAGCUUGCUCUGUGGGAUCAGUGGCGAACGGGUGAGUAACACGUGAGCAACCUGCCCCUGACUCUGGGAUAAGCGCUGGAAACGGCGUCUAAUACUGGAUAUGUGACGUGACCGCAUGGUCUGCGUUUGGAAAGAUUUUUCGGUUGGGGAUGGGCUCGCGGCCUAUCAGCUUGUUGGUGAGGUAAUGGCUCACCAAGGCGUCGACGGGUAGCCGGCCUGAGAGGGUGACCGGCCACACGGGGACUGAGACACGGCCCAGACUCCUACGGGAGGCAGCAGUGGGGAAUAUUGCACAAUGGGCGCAAGCCUGAUGCAGCAACGCCGCGUGAGGGAUGACGGCCUUCGGGUUGUAAACCUCUUUUAGCAGGGAAGAAGCGAAAGUGACGGUACCUGCAGAAAAAGCGCCGGCUAACUACGUG